GUGCACAUCGUGGGCUGCAAACAAGAUGAAGAUAUACUUUUAGGGGUACAGGGAGGGUGGAACACCCGACUAGGACCUGGUGACACAGCAAAGCAACUCCAACAUCAUCUCUGGUUAGAAAAUGUAAACCAUACAUGAUAUAACCAAUGAGCUUGAUACUUAGAAUCGUCUUCAAAGCUGUAAAGUCUGGAGUUAGUCCUAAUCAAUCUUGAAUUUUAC
rnacentral:misc_RNA from 1 species